rnacentral:miRNA from 1 species
UACGCAUUGAGUUUCGUUGCUU